rnacentral:rRNA from 1 species
AUUGAACGCUGGCGGCAUGCCUUACACAUGCAAGUCGAACGGUAACAGGUCUUCGGAUGCUGACGAGUGGCGAACGGGUGAGUAAUACAUCGGAACGUGCCCGAUCGUGGGGGAUAACGGAGCGAAAGCUUUGCUAAUACCGCUUGCGAUCUACGGAUGAAAGCAGGGGACCGCAAGGCCUUGCGCGGACGGAGCGGCCGAUGGCAGAUUAGGUAGGUGGUGGGAUAAAAGCUUACCAAGCCGACGAUCUGUAGCUGGUCUGAGAGGACGACCAGCCAAACUGGGACUGAGACACGGCCCAGACUCCUACGGGAGGCAACAGUGGGGAAUUUUGGACAAUGGGCGAAAGCCUGAUCCAGCCAUGCCGCGUGCAGGAUGAAGGCCUUCGGGUUGUAAACUGCUUUUGUACGGAACGAAAAGACUCCUUCUAAUAAAGGGGGUCCAUGACGGUACCGUAAGAAUAAGCACCGGCUAACUACGUGCCAGCAGCCGCCGUAAUAC